rnacentral:rRNA from 1 species
AACGAACGCUGGCGGCAUGCCUAACACAUGCAAGUCGAACGAGACCUUCGGGUCUAGUGGCGCACGGGUGCGUAACGCGUGGGAAUCUGCCCUUGGGUUCGGAAUAACAACGAGAAAUUGCUGCUAAUACCGGAUGAUGACGUAAGUCCAAAGAUUUAUCGCCCAAGGAUGAGCCCGCGUAGGAUUAGCUAGUUGGUGAGGUAAAGGCUCACCAAGGCGACGAUCCUUAGCUGGUCUGAGAGGAUGAUCAGCCACACUGGGACUGAGACACGGCCCAGACUCCUACGGGAGGCAGCAGUGGGGAAUAUUGGACAAUGGGCGAAAGCCUGAUCCAGCAAUGCCGCGUGAGUGAUGAAGGCCUUAGGGUUGUAAAGCUCUUUUACCCGGGAUGAUAAUGACAGUACCGGGAGAAUAAGACUCCGGCUAACUCCGUGCCAGCAGCCGCGGUAAU